rnacentral:rRNA from 1 species
UACGAAGGGGGCGAGCGUUGUUCGGAUUUACUGGGCGUAAAGGGCGCGCAGGCGGCUCAUUUUGUCAGGCGUGAAAGCCCCGGGCUUAACCUGGGAACUGCGUUUGAUACGGAUGGGCUAGAGUUCGGGAGAGGAGAGUGGAAUUCCCAGUGUAGAGGUGAAAUUCGUAGAUAUUCGGAAGAACACCAGUGGCGAAGGCGGCUCACUGGACUGGUAUUGACGCUGAGGUGCGAAAGCGUGGGGAGCAAACAGG